rnacentral:lncRNA from 1 species
UAAUCAGAAAUAUAUAUGUGAUUUAACUUAAAAUGUGUUCAGAUGCACAUACAAAGAAGCAUCUUUACAAAUUAAAUAACAGAGUUCCAACCAUCUAGAUGGUGGCCCAAUGGUAAGAGCUUGGGAUCAAGAGGUUUGCUCCCUCUAUGGUCUCAGGUUCGAGCCCUGUGGUUGCUCAUAUGAUGGCCACUGGAGGCUUACAUGGUCGUUAACUUCAGGCCCCGUGGGAUUAGUCGAGAUACGCGCAAGCUAGCCUGGAUACCCACAUUAAACUAAAAAAAAAAAACAGAGUUCCUCUUGUUUUGUAGGUAGGCGGGAACAUUCUGCAUCAUUAAUUUAAUUGUUCGAGUUAUGAUUGAUUGAUUAGUUAGUUAUUAGUUAGUUAGUUAGUUAGUUAACAUCGAUGGAUGGGGCACAGUUAGGAAUCUGUUGGCUAGGCAUGAGCAUCCGUCAUGGAUUAACAGAUUAACAGAUUCCUAUUUUAGGCUCUGCUAUUAACAUUAAGAUUUUAUAAAUUAAAAAAAAAAAAAAAAAACUAGAAGAUAUGAUGAAAUUAAUGUUCAUCUCCUUACAAACUCACAUGUCACUGUUCACUUACACAGUGCUUUUUUUUAAAAUCUAGUUUUUCUUUCAAUUUUAAUCUUAUACAUAUUAACUUUACAGGAGAUCAUGGUUUAUCAUUUGUUUUGAUUUGUUUUUUUAAUGUAAUUAUCAUAGAUUUAUAGCUCGAGUUAUAUGUUUGGCAGGUUAAUUCAAGUUAUUUUUUUUUUCAAUUUUAUAUUUUAGCAUUUGGUUGAUUGAGAAUUAAAUUUUAUAGUUUGUUUUGAUUUAUUUUAUAGGGUUAUUUCGGUCUUGCGACUUGGGUGGCAGUUUUGCAUGUUAACCCAGGUUUAUUCGAGUUUUUUUUUUUUCAAUUUUAUCCUUUAAUAUUGGGUUGAUUGAAACUUAAACUUUAUAAUUUGUUUUAAUUUUCUUUCUAUGGGGUUAUCUUGAUCUUAUGACCCAGGUUGCGGGUUUGGUGAGUUAACCCGAGUUGACUCAAGUUUUUUUUGUCCUUUUUUUCAUUGAUUUUUUUUUAAUUUCAUCUUUCAACAUAGAGUUGGUUAGAAAAUAGGUUUUAUAUUUUGUUUCUAUUUUUCUUCGAGGUUAUCUUGAUCUCAUAACUCGAGUCACAAGUUUGACAGGUAAACCUAAGUUGUCUCAUGUCGUUUUUGAAGUCUUUAAUUUAACUGAAUUUUUUUCUUCACCUGAAUUCUUCGACAAUGAGUAAAUUGAGAAUUAAGUUUUAUAAUUUGUUUUGAUUUAUUUUAUAUUAUCUUAUUACCAUCUCUUUAUGCACGUUCUAGAUUUGACAGGUUAACUCGAAUGACCCGGGUCAAUCUAAUAUAUUGUUGUUUUGAUAUUUAAAAAAAAUAUCAUCUUAGAAUUUAUUUUAGUCAACUUAUAUUUUUAUCGAUCAUCUGAAUUAUUUUUAAACCUACUGAGUUAAUCGGGUCAUAUCAAACUAAUCCUCGCACGAUUUAAAGUUUUUUCUUUGCUAGAAAUUACUCUAACAACAUCUGAACAUUUUUUAUGUUAAAAAAAAAAAGUUAAUCCAACCAUAACAUAGCAACCCAUUAUAUAUUAUAUUAAAACGCUUGGGAAAAACACUGUAUAUUUAUUGUGGACACAUACUCAUUGCAUUGUGGAUGACAAUGUAGCCAUAGACUAUUUGUACUAUGGACGACACUGUAGCGCUUGUGGGGAGUGUUGUCUUUGUCGUGUUUAGUUAAAAAUUACUGUUGGGGGCAUUGUCUUUUCUAUUUUCUGUGCGAAAAACUAUUGGGUUUGGCUUGGAAGACAUAACCAGACCCAAAUCGCUUUCAAAAGGACCCAAAAUAGCUUUGAGUUCGGCUCCCUAAAAUAACCCAAUAGCCUUCAGGUCUGGCCUCAGCUGGACCCAUCAGCAUUGAGUCCUGUUAUUAGGUCUAGCUCCGCAGCCACACCAAGUUUAUUGGGUCUGGCUCCGUAGCCAUACCCAAUAGCAAGACCAACACUUUAAUUUAAUUUUUUUUACUCUUAUUUAAUUUUUUUUCAUACGAUAAAAAGAAAAUAAAUUGAUAAAAAAAAAUUUAUAUUGUACAAAAGUUGAGUAAUGAGAAUUUUUUUUAUUUGAGGUUGAGUUGAUUUUUCUUAUUAAAACAUGUUUGUUUUUGUGUUUCGAAAAUGCUUUAAAAAAAUUUGAGAAUUUUUUAUUUUUUUCUUUAAUUAAAAUUAAUAUUUUUAAUGUUUUUGUAUUAUUUUGAUGUGAUGAUAUAAAAAAAUCAAUUUUAAUUUAUUCUCUUAUUGAAUUUUUUUUUCAUAUGGUAAAGAGUAGGGGUGAUCAUUUUCGGUUCGGUUCGGUUUUUAUCAAAAAAAGUAACCAAACCGAAAUUUUUUUUUUUUGAAAAAAAAACUGAAACCGGGUCAAACCGACCGGUUUCGAUUCGGUUCAGUUCAGUUUUUAGGGAAAAAACCGGUUCAAACCGGUUUGGCUCGGUUUUUUUCUGGUUUUUUUUUUGUUUCAGUUCGGUUCGGUUUUUUCGGUUUUUUGCUUAUAAAACCGAAACCGAACCGGCUGAUUUUUUCAAAAUUUUAAUCGGUUUUUUUUUCAGUUCGGUUUUUUCGGUUAUUGUUUUUUCGGUUUUCUCGGUUUAAUCGAUUUUUCGGUUUUUUUGCUCACCCCUAGUAAAGAGGAAAUAAAUUGAUGGGAGUUUUUUAAUAUUCUACAAAAAUUAGGUGAUGAUAAUUUUUUUCAUUUGAGGUUGGGUUGAACUUCCUUAUUAAAGCAUGUUUAUUUUUACGUUUCAAAAAUGCUUUCAAAAAAUUUAAAUUUUUUUUUCUUUACUUCAAAUUAUUAUUUUUUUUCCUCUUGAAUUUUUUUUCUUUUCUCUUAUGUAACUUUUUUUCAUAUGGUAAAGAGAAAAUAAAUUAAUGGGACUUUUUUUAUAUUGUACAAAAAUUGGGUGACGAUAAAAAAAUUUUAUUUGAGGUUGCAUUGAAUUUUCUUAUUAAAGCAUGUUUGUCUUUGCAUUUAAAAAAAUGCUAGCACAUUAACAAUGGUGGUGAAUGCAGUAUAUACAUAAUUUAUUUCAAUAAAAAAAUAAAGAAAUCAGAAGAAAAAAAAGAGAGAGAAGUUAUCCUACCCUAUUGAAGGAUUAUGUUAUCUCUAAUUGACAUAAAAGAGGAAUUCAUUUAGUAAUAUUAUUUUUAUAAAAAAAAAUCUUGGUAAUUGUAGUGUGUUAUCUUUGAUUGUUUUAGAUUAAACUAAAUGAUUUAUAUAUUUUAACAAACUUUAUGAAUAUUCAAAAAACAGUUAAAUAGUAGCAUAAAAUUUUUAUGUAUACAUAUUCUUAAUACAUGUCUCAUAUAUAAUUGUAAUGAAUUCUUUAAAAUAAAAGCAUUCAGAAAAAUUAUAAUUCUAAUAUUAUCAUAUUAAAGUUGAUGGAGCUCUUAAUAAAUUUUUGAUUAACAUUAUAUACUUUAUAUAUUUGUACUAUAUAAGAGAAUUUUUUAACAAUAAAAUCUAUUAAAAAAAUAAUUCAUAAAUAUUAUAACAUAAUAUUAUGUUGGGUAAUAGAGGAUAUUUUAAUUUUAUAACAUUAGUACAUGAGAUUCAAAAUUUUAUUAUUGUUUGAGUUUUUUUAGAUUUUUUUAUUCAAUAGUUUUGACUUAUAAAUAUUAUUAAAUACAUAAAUAAAUUAUAUAUUCGAUCUGGCUAUACAGUAGAACCUAAUAACUUUAUAUCCAGCUGACUAGCAGUACCUAGCAACUUUGAAUCCAGCAGCUUUGAUUCCGGCUGCUAGAUCCAAUAAUUUUAAAUCCAGUUGUCAGACCUAAUUAUAUUUUUUAUUUUAGUUUUACAUUUUAAAAAAAAAAUUAUUAUUAACAUGCAAAGCACGGUGCACGGUAUAAUAUGCUAGUGUAAGAUUCAAGCCGUGAUCGCCCUCAAAAGUAGUGCUAUUUUUUCAAGUUUUGGAAGCUAACCUCCACCUAAAAUACCUGGCAUGGCUACAUACCUUUGUAGUUUGUAUGGAAGAUAUUGAGAACAAGUCAAUGACAAGCUAGUUGGUCAAACUACUAAUAAUGGCACACCAAUCAAGUAAACUGAUUGUAAAUAAUGAGAAUAGGAAGACGAGCAGACAAUGAUAAUAAAGUGCAAGUAAAGUGACAUGCAGGUGAAAUUAAGAUAGGCGUGAUAGAUCGGUGGAUCGUGGAUGGCUUCAAGUUCAUGUAAAUAGAGCUUUGAACAUUGUUCGGUGAGUGAGUGGGAGAGCUUUUAGAGAUUUAACUGGAAAGCAAACUUGCUAGCAAAGGUUAGAAGGAAAUGACAGUUGAGUUUUUCUUUCAUGAACCCUAUUUUGAGCUCACAAAGUUUAUCUUUCUAAUGCAUGCCGAAAACAAUGGACACUGACCUUGUCAGAAUUCAGAAUGUCUGUGUUCAUCUUGAAUCCAUUUGUUGAAGAGCUUUGAUCCAUGUCAAAUAAAAAAAAAAACACCAUGGAUUAGUGCAUAAUCAACCAAAUUACUUGGUUAAUUUUCAAGGAUAUAUCGAGCAUAUACACCCUUCAUAUGGUGCCAGCCUGCCAGGAACAGAACCAGGAUUUCAGGAACUGGGCCAGUAAGGUGUGGUUAGUUUCAAGUUCAUUCUGCUAAAAGCUGUCGCAUUCCGACCUACCAGUCCCGUUGAAACAGUCAGAUAUGAGAUAAGGUUUCUA